rnacentral:rRNA from 1 species
AGAGUUUGCUUCUGGCUCAGGAUGAACGCUGGCGGCGUGCUUAACACAUGCAAGUCGAACGAAGAUAUUAAGAAUGAGAGCUUCGGCGGGAAUUUUUUCUAUCUUAGUGGCGGACGGGUGAGUAACGUGUGGGCAACCUGCCCUGCACUGGGGAAUAAUCAUUGGAAACGAUGACUAAUACCGCAUACGGUUCCUGGGAGGCAUCUUCUGGGAAAGAAAGGAUUUAUUCGGUGCAGGAUGGGCCCGCAUCUGAUUAGCUAGUUGGUGAGAUAACAGCCCACCAAGGCGACGAUCAGUAGCCGACCUGAGAGGGUGACCGGCCACAUUGGGACUGAGACACGGCCCAAACUCCUACGGGAGGCAGCAGUGGGGAAUAUUGCACAAUGGGCGAAAGCCUGAUGCAGCAACGCCGCGUGAAGGAAGAAGGGUUUCGGCUCGUAAACUUCUAUCAACAGGGACGAAAGAAAUGACGGUACCUGAAUAAGAAGCCCCGGCUAACUACGUGCCAGCAGCCGCGGUAAUACGUAGGGGGCAAGCGUUAUCCGGAAUUACUGGGUGUAAAGGGUGAGUAGGCGGCAUGGUAAGCCAGAUGUGAAAGCCUUGGGCUUAACCCGAGGAUUGCAUUUGGAACUAUCAAGCUAGAGUACAGGAGAGGAAAGCGGAAUUCCUAGUGUAGCGGUGAAAUGCGUAGAUAUUAGGAAGAACACCAGUGGCGAAGGCGGCUUUCUGGACUGAAACUGACGCUGAGGCACGAAAGCGUGGGGAGCGAACAGGAUUAGAUACCCUGGUAGUCCACGCCGUAAACGAUGAGUGCUAGGUGUCGGGGAGGAAUCCCCGGUGCCGCAGCUAACGCAAUAAGCACUCCACCUGGGGAGUACGACCGCAAGGUUGAAACUCAAAGGAAUUGACGGGGGCCCGCACAAGCGGUGGAGCAUGUGGUUUAAUUCGAAACAACGCGAAGAACCUUACCUGGCCUUGACAUCCCCCUGACCGGCUCGUAAUGGGGCCUUUCCUUCGGGACAGGGGAGACAGGUGGUGCAUGGUUGUCGUCAGCUCGUGUCGUGAGAUGUUGGGUUAAGUCCCGCAACGAGCGCAACCCCUAUCUUCAGUAGCCAGCAUUUUGGAUGGGCACUCUGGAGAGACUGCCAGGGACAACCUGGGGGAAGGUGGAGAUGACGUCAAAUCAUCAUGCCCCUUAUGGCCAGGGCUACACACGUGCUACAAUGGCGUAAACAAAGGGAAGCAGCCGUGUGAAUGUAAGCAAAUCCCAAAAAUAACGUCUCAGUUCGGAUUGUAGUCUGCAACUCGACUACAUGAAGCUGGAAUCGCUAGUAAUCGCGAAUCAGAAUGUCGCGGUGAAUACGUUCCCGGGUCUUGUACUCACCGCCCGUCA